rnacentral:tRNA from 1 species
AGGGAUUUAGCUUAGCGGCAUAAGUGCCUGCCUUAUAAGCAGGCAGGCAUGAGUUCAAUUCCUG